AGACUACGAUAGGUAGGGGCCCUGAUAGGGGGAUCCCCCACACUGGUACUGAGACACGGACCAGACUCCUACGGGAGGCAGCAGUGAGGAAUAUUGGACAAUGGGCUCACGCCUGAUCCAGCCAUGCCGCGUGCAGGAAGACAGCCCUAUGGGUUGUAAACUGCUUUUAUACGGGAAGAAUAAGGGGCACGUGUGCUCCGAUGACGGUACCGUAAGAAUAAGGACCGGCUAACUCCGUGCCAGCAGCCGCGGUAAUACGGAGGGUCCGAGCGUUAUCCGGAAUCAUUGGGUUUAAAGGGUCCG
rnacentral:rRNA from 1 species